AUGCCCAAGUUUACCGGAAGCAAUGACCCCGAAGAGUACAUAUCAUGGGCAUUGAAGGUUGACAAAAUCUUCCGCUUGCACAACUACGAAGAAGAGAAGAAGAUCGCAAUGGCAUUCCUCGAAUUCCAAGACUAUGUCCUCAUUUGGUGGGAACAAGUCAUUGAGCGCCAAGCGGCAAGAGGUGAACCACCCAUCACCACUUGGGCACAAAUGAAGGAUGUCAUGAGAGCACGAUUCGUGCCAAACUACCACAACCGCGACCUCUUCAAGAAACUCCAACAACUCAAGCAAGGAACCAAGAGCGUUGAAGAAUACUACAAGGAAAUGGAGAUUUCCAUGAUACGAGCCAAUGUCAAAGAAGAUGAUGAGUAA
rnacentral:rRNA from 1 species